ACUUGGAACUCAGUGCUCUCUCGCACCCCGAGCCGAGAGUACCGCAGGAGGCCAGAAUCGCGAUCUCUCGCUCUCUCUGCAUCCUCGUUCGUGUCUAUUUUCUUUCUCCUUACCCUCUUACACACCCUCGCAUUUACAUACUCACCUUACCACACAUGACACACGGAGACAAAAGUUUCAUUGACCAGUGAGAAACGUGGUGGCGGUGGUGAAGACCGGUAGUGGUGGCAAGAAAAGUGGUAGUGGUUGUGAAAGUGGUGGUGGUUGGUAGGGGGUGGUGAUACUUGUCGUAGUAAAUAUGGUGAAUUUUCACGGAGACACACCCCCGGAGAAGACGUGACACUAGGGGGAUGAGAGGACCGGUGAUCAGGCUCGCGGUUGGAUUUAAGUCCCGCAGCAAGCGACUGGUUCUUAGACUGGACCGGGUUAACUGAUGGCGAUGAUCGGGGCCAAUCUAAGAUUCGGCAUCGGCGCGUCGGGAAACGGGUCGUCGAACGCGACCAAGGUGUUCCAGUGUCAUCCAGGUGGUGCAACCGAGGCCACUCUCAUCUUCAGCCUCGGCGCCCUCGGCAUGGGCGCCAACUUCCUGCUGAUGGCGCUGAUCCUGGCCAAACGCCAGUUGCGCAGAUGGUCACAGGGGUUGCUGUUUCACCAAGCGAUGGUGGAUUGCGCUCGAGCUGCGAUUUUAUUGCCCCUCGGAUCGAGCAUACUCAACUGUCAGCCGAUGACCAAGUGUUCCCUGGUGGAGACAGCGUUUCUGCUGCUGGUGACAGUCUCGACGGUGAAUAUGUUGACGACAGUGCUGAACGACAGUCCGAUUUUCCCGGAAACCGACGAGGAGGCAGAUCUAGCGGCUCCUUUGCUCAUGGAUUCGCCUCAGUGCGUGUUAUUCGGCACGUUCAUGAUAUGGUUCGCGAGCAUCACCAUCAACCUGGGCCCGACAUUUUUAAGCGGAGCGCUAGCCGCGAACACGGAAUCGGGCCACAAUGCACCGAGCUGCCCUCUGGUACAUGGCCCAUUCCGCCAUUACAUCCUAAACGUCCUCUGGAUCGCCAUCAAUAUGAUUUGCGUCGCUCUCACCCUCAUCCAUCUUCGAAAACUGCACAAAGACCUGACCAAGGCGAACGUUGAAGCGGUAAAGGUAGCACUACUAACGAUUCUCGUGAAUACAACGGGUAACCAACAAACGAACGCGGUUCCUGAAAAUUCUGCCGCAUCUACGAAUGGUGGCACGCCCAAGAGGAGCGGAGCGGCGGAGGAGCACCGGAAAAUGAGGAAUUACUUAAAGAGGAUGGAGAGGGAGGGCGUGCAGAGGGUGAAGAUGUUUCUGGUGGUCAUCGCCGCGUACGUUAUCUUUUGGGGACCACUGUUCUUCGUCACUCUGGUGAAUCAUCCUAUCAUCGGGAAUCCAACUGGUUACGAGGUGACUCUACAUAUCGCGUACGUCCACGCAUUCGUGAACCCGGUGCUCUUCCUCAGCAUGCACCGCGGCCUACGUCAAGGCCUGUCGGAGUUCUUCUGCGGCUGCUGCGAGGUGAUCGCCAGCUGGAUUCUGGGUCCAAGCAUCCCCGUGGAAAGCGUGCAGCCACCACGAUACCACGAACCCAUGGAGGCGGUGCCAUCGCCGCCGGAACCACCGCUGGUGCAACCCGAUGCGUGUCCGGAUCUAACCGACGUGGCACUGCUCAAACCACCUUUGCCACCCACUGGCAAACAUUUACUGGACGACGUUAUGAUCGUACCGCCGGAUCCGUGGACUCUGGUUUCAAGGUCGAAAAGCACGUCAAGCGUUUACGAGGAAGACGUUAGUAGAAGAUCGAGCAUUUUGUUACCGCCGGCCCCGAAAAUAACCGACUCGGAAGUGAACGUCAGCCCAACUAGCAGCGAUCUACCUAGUGAAUAAACUUUCUUAACAUGUUUCCUUAAACCAGCAAGAUUCAAUUACAGAAUUCCCUUUCUUUCGCGAACUUGGUUCAUUGCUUUGCUUAUUAUGCAUAUCAUUUGGAAAGUUUCAACGAGAAAAUUUCGAAACAAUUUCAUUACGAAUUACGUAAACGUUCGUCCAUAGCUUGUACGUUAUUUUAUUUUAUAAAGCAGAAAAUUCCUGUUAGAUGGAAAAAGACAAAUUUUCCUUGCAGUUGUUUCAAACUAUACUAACGAGUUUUUCAACAAUUUCCCUAGAAAAUUCGAUCAAAUUAUGUUGGAAAUAAGAAUACGAUAUUUUUGAGAUUUGAGAGAAGAUACGUUAAAAAUUGUUAAUUUACGUUAAUAAUUGUUUAACAAAUGCUUCUUCCAACAGAGAACAAAGUGUAACACGUUAACAAUUCGAAGAUUUUCGAACGACAAGAAGAAGAAUGUUUCGAGAAUUUUAUGUAAAUUCUUGUUUCAAUUAUUUUUAAAUCUAAUCGAGCAUAGAUUGUGCGUGAUGUUAUUAUUAUAUUAAAAAUUAAUAAUUAAUUUUUUAAUGUUAAAAUGUUUGUAAAGAGCUCUGUAAAUUUGUGUAAAAAAGUCUUUGAUUGAAGUUGAUCCAUCGCAUGUUACACUACGCACGCACAAUUGCGCGAUCGAUUGUCGCGAAAUCUGCGAAACUAAUCUAUAAUUUACAUUUAAACAAAUCUCUAAUUUAUAAAUUCCUCCCGUUACAAAAUUAAUAAUAAUUCGAGUAUCGAUGAAAAAUCGAUAACUAAACGGAAGAAAAUAAAAAUUUGUAUGUCGCUAGUUGCAUUGUCGUAAAAUCUCUUCGAUCGAAUUAUUCGAUUCUUAUUGUCGUGACCAUACUUGGCGUAUCUUUAGUCGUACGAGUAAUAUAAUCAUUAAAAAAUCAAGAAACAGUAUACAGUAGAUAUUAAAUGUCAGUUAGAUGAAAAAUAAAUAUUUGGUGUAUAAGAAGACGAUGGAAGAAAUUUUUAUCAAUUUUCAGAAGAUACUUGUCAUUCGUUUUUAAUCGAUGGUAUUGCGAGAUAAUUUUGUAAAAUGAUCAUAUUCGUCAGCGAUGAUGAAUUUGAUGAAAGAGCAAUUUAAUGUUUGUAAUGUACGAAAAGCUGCAAUAAACGUUCAAUUCGUCCUUCGAAAGAAAUAUCGAAAAAAUGCUGAAUAGUAUACGUUUAAUAUUAAAAAGAUACUUAGAAUUUCUAUAAAUUCCUAUGAAUUCUCCGAAGCCGUUCCAAAAACGACCAAAGAUAUUUCCAAAAUGAAAUUUGUCCAAUUUACUAAAGAGAUAUGCACGUACGCGCGAUAUCUUCGCAGCGCUGAAGAGUAGAACUCCAUGAUGUCGAUCGACUGACAGAAGAUUGCAAAUGGACAACAACCGAGAAACUGAGUUGUCCACUUGCAAAUUCCUCUUCAUAGCCUAGGAAUCCUCUUCGAAACAUGCAAACUUUCCAAGACACGCGCGAAAAUGAAAAGAAGAAAAAGAAGACAAAUCCGCGGGACGUUCACUUUCCGGUCGUAACAAGCAACGUGCAUCUCGUAACGAGAUACAGGCGCGUAGAAACAAGCGAAGAGAUGGAAAGACAAAGGAAAAUCGUUGCCAAAGAGGUUCUGUAAAGAACCGUUCAAACAAUAAUCUUCGAAGAUUGCCAAAACUCGAGAAGAAGAGAUAGGAGAAUGAUCGUUUCGCCAACGUUAAGCACGUUUCCAUGUAAAACUUCGCUUUCUAGACGACUCUGUUUAGAUAACGCUUUAUUCAAUGAAACUAAAAAAUCAAUGAAAAUAAAAUAAAACGAAGUAAAGUAAUGGUAAAAUGAAACGAAGCAGAAGCGAAAGCGACACGAAGAAACAAGCUAGAGAUUAUUCAAGAAAAGUAGAAAAGCGCAGAAUGUCACCGACAAAACAUAAAUAGUUCCUUAAAUUGUGAAUCGAACAGAGCAUUAGCUGCACCAAUUAGCGAUCAAUUAAGCGAUUAAUUAGGGAUACGUUAGAUAGUCUGCACCUUCGAAUGAGCUUUCCAUUAAACUGGGGACUCAAAGUGAUCGAGAUUUUGCCUCGAUUAUUACUAUUAUUAUAUAUAUAUAUUAUUUACUAUUACGAUUAUCCUUAUUAUACACGUAUUAUACAGAUAAUUAUAUACAGAAGCGGAGUCGCAUGUGCGCAUAUACAGGGUGUCCGAUAAUUAAACGCUGUUCGUAGCGGUGUCGAGCGUGAAAUUGUUCGAUAUACGAUGUAUAAUGGUGAAACUGUAACAUGAUUUUCGUUGUAAUUAGACUCUUCGUUUAACGGAUAUUUGAUAUAUAUAUAUUGUAAGAUCUUAUACUACAAUUAGUUUAUUUAUAAUAAAUGGACUAAACAGAUGUUGAUUAAACAGGAAACGAUCGUUGUUUAACGUGAACUAACCACAAUAACGUAUUAUAAUUAAGACAACUAGAUAGUUAAUUUGCAACACUCGUCAAUGCUCUCACUCACGCGAACCACACUCUCUCGACAACACAUCUCGCACUCCCUGACUUCUCAACUAACACUGACUGUUAAUUCGUCUUUCAGCUUAGUGUCCCUUUGUCCUUUGCUUAGCCCCACCACGCACGUGUUUCGCAACCGUUUGUGGUCAGGGUCACGUAGGCCUUUUCCACGAAACUAUUCGAUUGACCAAUGGCACACUUGGGCUUUCUCGCGACAUUGUUUAUAGUUCGCCCGAUAUCCCUUAGGCCUCUCGUCCACGAUACUACAAUAUAUAUAUAUAUAUAUAUAUACUGUACUGUCUGUUUUCGUUUGAAAUAUUCUUCAGCCAUGAAUAAAUAUUUAAUUCGUGAAUAAUGGAAUUAUGUAUUGGAAUAAAAGACUGUACGACUCUGUAUUGACAAUUUCUCAUUUACUUCUUUCGAUGGUAAGAAAUUAACACGUUCGCGACUGUCGAGAAUAUAAUGAUGACAGAAAUUCGAUAUAAAAAUUUCAGUUCACGGUAUAUCGAAAUCUAUUUAUCAAAUGAAAUUUAUGAAAAUUAGUAAAAUUUUAGAUUCGUCAAAUAUCUGCAAGAAACGACACUUUUCGAGAAAUGUUGUCAAAGUGAAACGUGUUGUCAAAGUGAAAACGUAAUGAGAAUAAACUAGUCACUCUGUAUAUGUGUAUAUGCAGAUAAAUAUAUACCUAUACAUAUGUAUAUAUGUAUAUGUAUGUAUAUAUUAUAUAUUUUCUAUGCAAAAAUUUAGGGAUUUCCGGACGUGCGUUCUCUGAGCUACUUUUUCUUGUAAAAAAAAAAAAAAAAAAAAAAAAAAAAAAAGAAAAAAAAAAGAAAAAUACAUACAUGUUUUAAUGCAUGAAUUUCUCGUUUGUGAUUAAAGAUAUCUUUUUUCACUUUUCUUCAGUAAAUAAAAAUUAUUGGAGUUUGCUGAGAGGGAAAUAGAAAAACAGCGGUGGUUUUAAUUUAAUGGAAAAUUUACCAGAUAUUUUUACGCGAGUUCUAAACAAUUUCCAUCGAAAAUGAGAACGAAGCGUUUUAUUGGGUUAGCAACUAAGUGAUUGCGGAUUUUGUCAAUACCACCUAAUGACAACAUCUGCAAUCACUUAGUUACCAAGCCAAUAUUUGGUAUACGACCUCGCAUAACGUGUCUGAGAAUUUUGUAGAUUUGUAUUAUAUUUAAUUUUAUAUUACUUGUAUUGUAAUUGAAUUUUAUAGAAAUAUUAUGGUCGACGUUUUUUCCAUUUUUUAACGUUGCCAAACGUAUAUUUCCUACUUCUAAUAAACAGUUGAGACAAAACCAACUAUAUUUUCCCUCAUUUGCUGUAUUAUUCAUACCAGGAGCAACUAAAUCUUUGGUAACUGACGCUAAUCGAAAUUAUUAACGACGACUGAUCGACGAAAAUUUAAACAAAUCUUCACCUAAUCGUUGCAAAUUCUAAUUUGAAAAAAAAAAUCUUGGAACAGUACAAGCCACGAUAUAUUUCACUAUAAUUAACAGUUGAUAAGCGUAAAAAACCUUUUUGAUCGAAAUCUCCUAAAGUACUCAAAAUAUACAAAACUUUAAAAGCAUACGAAAAUCAGCAACAUCGGUUCAUCCUCAAAAAAUUAGAAAAAUUAACGAUCAAUUUCUACGAUACAAAAAUCACGAAAGCUUCUCAUUCUGUACGAAUAAUUUUCGUAGAUGAUUUUAAGAAUUUGCAUAAAUUGUAUCGCAAGAACCACCUAACCGCCAAGAAAUGAAUAAAUCGUUGAAAUAUCUAAGAAUUGCGAUAAUGAAGGAACAGUAGAACACGACUCCGAAUAUUUCGUUACUGCGAUUAUUAUUUUAUUUUAAUAUUAUUAAUAUUAUAAUAAUUAUUUUAUAAAUUUUAUAUAUUAUAUAUAAUAAAUUAUUUAUAAUUUAGCAAUACAAUGGCCAACUGCUGCUUCUUACGAUGUAAACUGCGAAAAAUCGGUAUCAUUCGGAACGCAAUUCUAGCAAUUGCGCGUCAUCGCGUUGAAUAUUUCGAUAAUGGAUCGAACGUAAUACAGAAUUCAUAAUAUAAUUACCACGCAACGCUGAGAAUCCGUGCAUUCGAUCUACGAAUGCAAACUGCGAUAACUAGAACGUUUAUCGGUCGAAAUCCUCGAAUAUAAACUCCAUCUGCCUUGCGAUAGUGUCUUCACAUUUCCAGCUUCCUAUACACAACAGUGUCGAUGCUAACAAGAGAAAGAGAGAAGAGAAUUGCACAACUCAUGACAGUUAUAGACCUCUGGUGGGAUAAUUUCUCACCCAACUAUAGCAAUAGAUCGAGAAAUUGUGGCUUGCAGAUUAUAUCACGUGGGUAGAACAAUUACAGAAACAAACUGGUUCCAGUGAGAACAGUUUGCAAUUUCGAUCGAAAUCAUCUGCCGCUCUUUCGUUUGUGGUAGAAAAAGAAGAAAAGAAAUAAAAGCGAAAUUGAAAACCGUAAUAUUUAUUGGGAAAGUUUGCAGGAUGAACAUUUCUUUAUUAUCCGUUAUAUUUCUCUGUUUCUAUAAUUCGUCACGUAGUUCUUGCUUUGGAAAGAAAUUUUCCUUUUUUUUCGUCGAUGCCGUCGAUCGAUACGCGUGGAAGGAAAUUUAAAAGCGAGAAACGCUGGAAAUACGCGAGCUGAGCCGUAAUCCAGCAACAUUCGAAAGACGAAAGAAAUAAAGUCCGGAAAAUCCCUGAAACAAUGUCAAUUUCUCUGGAAAGACUUUCGUAGGAGAAGGCGGAGUAAACUUACGAACAUUACUCGUAAAGUAUGUCUUUUAAAAAUUAUUAGAACAAACUUCACAAAGGCUGUGAUGGUAUUGGUGGAACAAAAUAAUUGUUUAAAAAUAAUUAUUUAAUUGAUACGUCAUGUUGCUUGCGCUAGCUGCACACGUUAUUUUGAUAUUUCGUUGGAUUUAAAUAGAAGAGGCCCGAGUGGCAAUGAGCAACAGGAAAAGUUGCCCGAAGCGAGACUAAAAGCUAGAAGCACUUCAAGUCGUCGGGUACAGACGUUAUAUUCCAGCUUCUGCGAAAGAAAUCUCAUUGAUCCUUUGGUGGCGUGCGAUUACCUGGCCUCUCGAGUCUGACAAUGGUGCUCAUCCAUCAACUUAUAACAGUAAAGACUCCCUUUGGGGCGUUUAAUUUCAGUUCUUCAAGAAUAACAUUGGUUAUACGACGAAUAGAAAGAAAAUAGUACGCCAGAUACAGAGCCAAUGGAAGAAUGGAAGAACUGAGAUGAAACGACUAAACAAAUGGUACAAGCAAAUCGAGUAGAACGUUAACGACGCGACCAUAAGAAGAUAAAUGAUAAAGAAAAUAAAGAAACAGAGUAAAUAAAUUUUCUCAAUGCGAUUGUAAUAAAUUUGAACGCGCAAGCAAAUUAAUUCAAAAAAUUCAAACACGCCGUUUGAAUAUUUAUUAGAGGAUGUAACGUGAAAUGCAUUGUAAAUUAAAUUAAAUUCUUCCACGGCUAUACCAUACUCCGUCAUUCGUAAAAUCGUGUUGAAAAAUCGAUUUGUACGAAAAAGUCGCAAUUUCAGUUUCGGCUCAAAGGGAAAAGUUCCAUUACACUACUACGGACGAAUCGAUGCACCCAUAAAAAAAUCCUGUCGGCGGAGAACGGAACUCAUUAAACCAUGCAAAUUUUCCCCCUUUUAUUUUUUCCUUAUUUUUAUUCGAAACGGAGUUGGUCCGGUUGCUGAGAUCGCUCUGUGCAUAAACGAGUUUAGAAAAUUUCGGUCAGAUCGCUACUACUUCUACUUAAGCAAGAUUGCUGCAGCAAAUUUGUAAGCAAGAAGCUUACUUGAUUUAAUUAAAAAUUUCAAUGUUAUCGCUUGAUACAUUUCCCCUCCUUGUACGUAGUAAAUGUAUAGGUUUUGUCUUUUUUUAAAAAUGAUAUAGUUUGAAUAAAGUUUAUGUCACAUUGAUUGUGAAAUUAUUAGACAAUAAAAAGCAAUGAAACCUGAA